CCUGGUUACCGCUCCAGCUUCCUUCCACAGAAACUUCAAUUCCCAGAGUCAGGGGCGGUAGUUACACAGUGGAGGGUACGGCGGGUAAUUAUUGCAGAAAUUGAAGAUGAGAAUGAGGUUUGCAUUUUUGAAUAGAAGACUGGCUUCUCAGCAUAGAAAGAAUUUUAAAGUAAAUUAUCCUUGAUGCUUGAAGAUAUUUGAACAUGUUUAAAUGCUUCGGUGAAUAGAAAAUUAAAUUCAGAAUUUGAGGUUUUCUAAAAGAGCUGAAAUUUCUUUGUCUUUAGUUACAAAGCUAAAGUCAUUCUCACCAUAAGCCUUUAAAUUUUACUUGAAACACUGUGUCAGAUACAACACUGUUCUGAGUCCCUCUCUGUUUUCCUCAUCUCAAACCUGAAAGAUCUUUCUUAACUGAGCACUAGCAAAAAAGUCUGGAUCUACUUCUGAUCUGUUAGUAGGGCGUCUUUUUUCAGCUGCCUCCAUAUCAGGGCAAAGAGUAGCUGAGGGAGGAUUAGUAAUUGGAUAUGUAGCCCUUCACAUGUAGGUCAUUAAAUUCAGGCUGGCAAAGUGAUGUGCCAAAACUUUCCACAGCUGUUCAGUUGCUCCUAUGGGAUCUGCUUUAUAAAUAAUUAUACAUUUUUUUCAGAGUUAAUACAUGGCAUCCUUAGAUAGUUUAAGCCAAGUUUUAAAGCAAAAAAACAAACAAACAAACAAACAAAAAAAACUUCAUAUUUUAGUGAAGAAGCCAAUACAUUUUCUUUUGUCCUAGACAUUUAACUUUGUAGUCAUUUGGUGCAAAAUCUAAAAUGAUUCUAGUAUCAAUCCAAAGAAGUCAAUUUGAGAAAAAAUUGAAACAUAUAGAAAGUUUAAGAAGAUGAAAUCAUAUGAAACAAUAUUUUCGUUGAUUUGUAAAGUUCAUGUGUUUAUUUAUUUGACACAUUUAUCAAGUUCUAUGCUUUUUGUCUUAGUACUGGUGAUACAGAAAUGACUAAAUCAUGCUCUGUGUCCUCAAGGAAUCCCUAAUCUAAUGGAGGAGCCAGCAGUAAAUAAAUAGCAUAUAACAUGUACUUGAGAUGCUUGUACUUUGAAAGAAGCAACUAAUUGCUCCUUGAGGCAGAGGACGUAGUUUUGGAGAUUGAAUAAUUUUGUUUCAUCUUGGAAAGUAAGUAGGAGUUUUACAGGUGUCUCAAAGUAAAGAAGUUUACGGUAUUGGGAAAAGUGAAAGCAAAGACCUAAGCACAUCAUGGAUUUGCACAUCACUGAAAAGCUGUGGAUAGGAUGAGGCAGAAGGAGGAGACGAUGACCUGGAGGGUUUCUCUAACUUGGAAAACUGUUAGGAAUACUAUAAUAUUAACUGGGUCAUUUAGCGAAUACUGGAGGAAAAAUAGGCUUUGAAAAAAUAGUUUGAUUUUAAAAAUGUGGAUUCUAGGGAGUCGGCAGGACAUCUGAGUAGAAACAGAUUUAAAAAGAAUGAGCGCAUACUAGUAGUUUAAGACAAUUUAAGAGGAUAGACUCAACCAGAUACUACAUGGGGUACAAAUGCAUAAUACCUAUGGGUACUGGAAGGUAGCAAAUGAGAGAAGCAUCUGGAAGGAAAGUAUCACAAAGCUGAUACUUUCCUUUUUAAUCAGGGUACAAGUUCCAAGAGAGAAUAUGGGCCUAAUCACACCAGAUGUCAAUUUUUUAACAAUAGUCAUAAAUAUGAAAUCUGGUUUUGAAGUGUUGACAGCUAUUUUGUUUGUUUUAAAAUACUGAGCAGGCUAAAUAAAAUAUAUCUGUGGGUCAUAUUCAGACAAUUGGUAGCCACUUUGUUAAAUUGGACCCUAGUUUGUAGAAUAAGAAGGGGGCUACAGAUAGAACUAAUACUUUAGGACAUAAAAAUACAGUAAUAAAUAUGAUUAUGAACGCCUCCAAACAUUUUAUUUCAAACAUUGGGCAAUCAUUACAAAUUCCAUUCUUUUAAGCUUAAUUCUAAUUUUAAGUCUUAGACUACUCUUCAGCAAGUUGGAAAUGAGGAGAUGUGGAAAUAGAAUAAUGCUUGUGAGUACUUUAAUUUCAGGCUGGGAAAGCCAAAAAGAAACCUGUUUUUAAACAUGACUUGAAAGGUAGCUAAAGGGAAGAAUCUACCACUCAUCUAUAAUGAUUUCAACCUGCAUUUUGUCUGAUUCCAAAAAUACAGAAAAAAAACUUAAAAUGUAUUUUAAAAUACCAUAUCCUUCCAAGUAAUACAUGAAUAUUAAAGAGUCUGGGAAGAUGAUUAGAGAGGCAGUGUAGUCUGUGAACCUCCUGAAUCUUCUCAUAAAGACAGAUAAAGCAUCUAGGAUAGACAAUAACAACAAUCCCAGAUGAUAGCUAUAACAUAACUAGGUGGAAAAGAAUCCCUACAAAUCUCAAAAUAUGAACAGAAAGGAGAAAACUCAACAUCAGCAACUGUGUAGGAGGAAAUGGUAGGAAAACAACAGAUCAUCUGAAGACCCUCAGAAUAGGAAGGCCCCAAAAAUGCCAACAAAUGAUUGCUAGAAAACGGGAAACCAGUGUGAGGUUGAUGGCAAAACUGGCAGGGAGUUCAGCAGACUCUAAGCUCAGCUAAGUGUAAAGUAAUGAGCAGGAGGGUCUGAAGUUGCUGGAGGAAUGUGAGACCUGUGAACAGUGGAACUCCAUUCUUGAACAUAGCCCAACACUAAGGAGAAAGUAGAAAUCGAAUUAAACAGAACAGAGACAACAGGGACCAAGGAAAAAGCAGAUGCAGGUAAAAGUGGGAAAAUAGAAAGGAGACAGAUCUCAGAAAAUACAAGGAUACCAAUGUGUCAUUUUAUGAAAUAUUAAAAAGGAAACUCUAGAGCCAUGAAAGUGGGAAAGCUAUUCUACCCAAUCCUCCCUCUCAAAAGUACAGAAUAACUUAGUCUAAAAGGUAUACCACAGAAAAGGAUCAUGGUUGAAUUUCAUUUAAAGUUGCUAUAAUAGAAUAGAGAAUAUGAAGCAAAAAAGGUGGAUGAAAACUAUAAUGGAAUAUUUCAAAAAGGAGAGCAAUUUUUAAAUAAUAGAAAAUAUUAAAGAAUGACAUAAACAAAAACCAAAAAUGAUUCAGAAAUGAAUAUUUGAAGAUGAGUAACAGAUCUAAGAAAAUAAAAAAUGUAAAAAGCACAUAUAUACAUUCACCAUUAUACUGAAAGUUCUAACCAGCACAAUAAGAUUUGAAAAGAAAAGGAAGGAAGAAAUAAAGCUGUUUGUAGAUGGCAUGAAUGUCUAUCUAGAAAAUCCCAAAAAAUAUACCAAAAAGACCCUCACUAAACUAAUAAGCAAUUAUAGUAAGGUCACAUAAUAAAAGGUUAACAUGCAAAAGUCAAUUGCUUUCCUAUACAGCAGCGGUGCACAAAUGGAACUUGAAAUUAAAAAGAACAACCCCUUCAAAAUGAAAUAGGUAUAAAUCUAACAAAUUUGAACAGAAUCUACAUUAAGAAGCUGCAAAACUCUGAUGAAAGAAGUCAAAGAAGGCCUAAACAAAUGGAGAGAUAUGAUUUGAAGACGAUGCUGUAAAAAUGAACGCACCUAGUGUCCAGAUCUUGGUUUCUAGUACCAUUCUUCAUUAAAGUAAACCAGGGAUUCUUGGAGAAAUGACUGAUUGUAAGAUUGGAGUAAAAAUGUACAAGAUGAGCUGGAAGCAUCUUGUGGUGCCAGAGAAUAAGGAGAUGCUAAAAACCAAAACCAAAAUCAGAACUGAAACAACACACAUACAGUGAGGUAUGUCAAAGAAACACGGGGCCAACUGAAGGAACUCCCAGUGGCUAAAGAUAGACCAAUUGUAGCAACAAAGAAGUAUUGGAUUAUAACUCAAAGGAUAAAUUAAAUAUCCAUGAGCCCUUACUGAUACAGUGAUUAAAUAAAUCAAUGGGAAAUUAAAGACAAACUUCCCAUGCAGAGGAAUUAAAAUAAUUUAUGUAGCUACUCCACCCUCAAGGAGAAGGAACAUAACUCCCCACUCCUUAAGUGUGGGAAGUACAUAGCACUUCCUCCAAAGAGUGCAGUAUGGAAAAAGAGGGUGAAAAAGAAAAGAAUUAACUUUGCAAUGGAGAAAACUAAGAACACUGAUCAAAGUCAAUGUAAAUAGAGAUAAAUCACGUGGAUAUCAUGUACCUCUGAUGUAAUAUGGUAUCAAGAAAAUGGCACUUUACCUCUAUGGUUUUCCUCCUCCAAACUUACAACCUCAGUCAAAUCAUAAGAAAAAUAUCACAAAAAUUCCAUUAGAGGAGUAUCUUACAAAAUAUCUGACCAGUUCUCCUCGGAGUUGUUACAGCCAAGAAGAGCCUAAGGAUACAUGACAACUAAA